GAUGAACGCUGGCUGCGUGCUUAACACAUGCAAGUCGAACGAUGAAGCCCAGCUUGCUGGGUGGUUUAGUGGCGAACGGGUGAGUAACACGUGAGUAACCUGCCCUUGACUCUGGGAUAAGCCUGGGAAACUGGGUCUACUACCGGAUAGGAACGUCCACCGCAUGUUGGGUGUUGGAAAGAUUUAUCGGUCAUGGAUGGACUCGCGGCCUAUCAGCUUGUUGGUGAGGUAAUGGCUCACCAAGGCGACGACGGGUAGCCGGCCUGAGAGGGUGACCGGCCACACUGGGACUGAGACACGGCCCAGACUCCUACGGGAAGCAGCAGUGGGGAAUAUUGCACAAUGGGCGAAAGCCUGAUGCAGCGACGCCGCGUGAGGGAUGACGGCCUUCGGGUUGUAAACCUCUUUCAGUAGGGAAGAAGCGAAAGUGACGGUACCUGCAGAAGAAGCACCGGCUAACUACGUG
rnacentral:rRNA from 1 species